rnacentral:rRNA from 1 species
UACGAAGGGGGCUAGCGUUGCUCGGAAUCACUGGGCGUAAAGGGUGCGUAGGCGGGUCUUUAAGUCAGGGGUGAAAUCCUGGAGCUCAACUCCAGAACUGCCUUUGAUACUGAGGAUCUUGAGUACGGGAGAGGUGAGUGGAACUGCGAGUGUAGAGGUGAAAAUUCGUAGAUAUUCGCAAGAACACCAGUGGCGAAGGCGGCUCACUGGCCCGUUACUGACGCUGAGGCACGAAAGCGUGGGGAGCAAACAGG